rnacentral:rRNA from 1 species
GAUGAACGCUAGCGGCAGGCCUAACACAUGCAAGUCGAGGGAGAAGCCCUUUCGGGGGCAGAAACCGGCGCACGGGUGCGUAACGCGUAUGCAACCUACCUUUCACAGGGGGAUAGCCCGAAGAAAUUUGGAUUAAUACCCCAUAAUAUUAUUGGAUGGCAUCAUUUGAUAAUUAAAACUGCGGUGGUGAAAGCUGGGCAUGCGUCCUAUUAGCUAGUUGGAGUGGUAACGGCACCCCAAGGCUACGAUAGGUAGGGGUCCUGAGGGGGAGAUCCCCCACACUGGUACUGAGGCAGGGACCAGACUCCUACGGGAGGCAGCAGUGAGGAAUAUUGGUCAAUGGUCGGAAGACUGAACCAGCCAUACCGCGUGCAGGAAGAAUGCCUUAUGGGUGGUAAACUGCUUUUAUAUGGGAAGAAUAAGGCGUACGUGUACGUUGAUGACGGUACCAUAUGAAUAAGCAUCGGCUAACUCCGUG